rnacentral:rRNA from 1 species
UCGAGAAUCAUUCGCAAUGGGCGAAAGCCUGACGAUGCGACGCCGUGUGAGCGAAGAAGGCCUUAGGGUUGUAAAGCUCUUUCGCCUGGGAACAAGAGAAGCUGGAUAACACCCAGCGGAUUUGAGGGUACCAGGUAAAGAAGCACCGGCUAACUCCGUGCCAGCAGCUGCGGUAAUACGGAGGGUGCAAGCAUUAAUCGGAUUUAUUGGGCGUAAAGGGCGCGUAGGCGGCUAUGAAAGUCAGAUGUGAAAUUCCGGGGCUCAACCCCGGAGCUGCAUUUGAAACUCCAUAGCUAGAGGAUAGACGGAGAAAACGGAAUUCCACAAGUAGCGGUGAAAUGCGUAGAUAUGUGGAAGAACACCGGUGGCGAAGGCGGUUUUCUAGUUUAGACCUGACGCUGAGGCGCGAAAGCAAGGGGAUCAAACA